CGGGCCACCUCCUCUUCUUGCACGGCCUCACCAAAAACCUUUCUCUGCUCCAAACUCCAAGGUUUCCGUUUGUUUGGCCUCACUGUGCUCUUGGGCACAUAGAACUUGGCGUCCACAGUUUGUUCUGUCCAUAGUGACAAGUAGAUCUGCGUAUUUAGGCAAACACCCAGAGUUCACAGCAAGCCUAGUCAGAUGGGGUGUAAACAGGAAACAGCAGGCAGGCGGGUUGUUGAACAGCACGGCAGUGUUUCAAUUCAAAGGGCUGGUGAGUGGGGAAGGGUCUCUGGGUCUAACACAGUGAAUGUCAGACCGUCAACCUUUUAGAGGGUUAAAGCUUUUGUACGAUACGAGAGAAGACCAAGGUGAGCAAGGCGAGCGCAUGCGGGACUGGCCAGCAAAGGCACAUCCGCUUUCAGGCUUUCGGUUUCUUUGCCUCCAUCUUGCCUGCGAUUUUCAGGUAUCUGGGGAGUGAAUUCUUGACGGGUCGCAGCCAAAGGAGAGCCUAGCCGCGGGCAGGACGAACUCCUCCAUUGGAAAGGAUUCUGAAAGAAAUGAAGAAAACCAUCAGAAAUGCAAUCGGUAGCUUCAUGGCCUUCUGUUGACUGGACUAGACUUUUCUUACCGCUGUUCCUUGGAAUGACACUGUACAGGAUGUCUGCUGAGGUUAUCCAUCAGGUGGAAGAAGCACUUGAUGAAGAUGAGAAGGAGCUGCUGCUUUUUCUGUGCCGAGACGUUGCUGCAGAUGUGGUUCCACUUAAUGUCAGGGACCUUCUGGAUGUUUUAAGAGAGAGAGGAAAGCUGUCUUUUGUGAGCUUGGCUGAGCUGCUCUACAGAGUAAGGCGGUUUGACUUGCUCAAGAGGGUCUUGAAGAUGGACAGACCGACAGCGGAGGCCCUCCUGCGCAGGCACCCACAUCUUAUUUCGGACUAUAGGGUGCUGUUGAUGGAAAUUGGUGAGGGUUUGGAUAAAUCGGAUGUGUCCUCAUUAAUAUUCCUCAUGAGAGAUUAUAUGGGCCGAGGCAAGAUAGCCAAGGAUAAGAGUUUCUUGGAUCUUGUGAUUGAAUUGGAGAAGCUAAACCUGGUUGCUCCAGAUCACUUGGAUUUAUUAGAAAAAUGCCUAAGGAACAUCCACAGAAUAGACCUGAAGACAAAAAUCCAGAAAUACAAGCAGUCUGCUCAAGGAGUGGAAACAAAUUAUGUAAAUGCUCUCCAGGCAUCUCUGCCAAACUUGAGUGUUAAGGAUCCUUCAUAUAACCUAAGGUUCCAGAAUGGGAGGAGUAAAGAACGCAGACUCAUGACGGGACAACCUGACAUUCAGAGAGAACCAGUGAAGACAUCCAUUCAGGAAUCAGAAGCAUUUUUACCUCAGCACGUACUGGAAGAGAGAUACAAUAUGCAGAGCAAGCCCCUGGGAAUAUGCCUGAUAAUUGAUUGCAUUGGCAAUGACACAGACAUUCUUGAGGAAACCUUCACUGCCCUGGGCUAUGAAGUCAAGCGUUUCUUACAUCUCACUGUGGAAAAUAUAAUGCACAUUCUUGGCCAAGUUGCGCACAUGCCCCAACACCAAGACUACGACAGCUUCGUGUGUAUCCUGGUGAGCCGAGGGGGCUCCCAGAGCGUGUUUGGCGUGGAUCAGACUCACUCAGGGGUCCCUUUAGAUCAUAUCAGAAGGAUGUUCAUGGCAGAUGCAUGCCCCUCUCUCUCAGGGAAGCCAAAGGUCUUUUUUAUUCAGAACUAUGUGACGUCAGAGAGCCAGCUAGAGGACAGCAGCUUCCUGGAGGUGGAUAGGCCAUCAGUGAAAAGUGCAGAAUCCAAGGCCAGGCAGCCCGGGGCCUGCGUGAUUCACCGAGAAGCUGACUUCUUCUGGAGCCUGUGCAAAGCGGACGUGUCCCUGCUAGAGCGGUCCUCCCCUUCACCGUCACUGUACCUGAAGUGCCUCUCCCAGAAGCUGGGGAAAGAAAGAAAACACUCACUCCUGGAACUCCACAUUGAACUCAACAGCAAGGUGUAUGAUUGGAACAGCAGAGUGUCUGCUAAGGAGAGGUAUUGUGUCUGGCUGCAGCACACUCUGAGAAAGAAACUCAUCCUCUCUUGCAAAUGAAAAGCCAAAGACCCUUCUUAGCUUUGCAGUCUCCAUCGCUAGCCAGAAAGACAAACAUUUAUUUCUCACAGUUCUAGAGACUGGGAAGUCCAAGAUCAAGUGACUAGACUGCAUAUGUGAUGGCUGGAGCUCUAGCUGCCAUCUUGAAUUGUGAGGAUAAGAGCCACACUGUAGGGAUGACCAAGUGGUGAACAGGAAGGAGCCUUGUUGGGUGAAGACAUUAAGAAGCAGAGUCACCAUACCAACCCUAGAUUACCUACAUCUGGACAUUUAUGUGAGAGAAAAAAAUGUGGGGUUUAUAUUUCUUUUGACCUAACCUAGUCUGACUGGUACAUUGUUAUUUGAUUAAAGUGUUUUUUUAUGUUUAUGCAUGUUGUAAGUUUAAAAUAAAUAUUUGCCUAGGCGAUCAUUUUAAUUUUUUAAUUAUUGUUUAAAAAUGUAUGUAUGUAUUGUUAAAAAAUGUAAUGUUAACACCUGAGCUGACCUAAGUUUUUAGUAUGUAUGAUGCUCUCAUUUAUUUCCUUUUAUAGUUUUGUGGUUUCUGUUGGAGAGAUGGAGACGCUUUAUUAAGACAUAGUAGGAUUUGGACACUGUCCUCAUAAGAGAUGUAAUCCACAAGGAAAAGUUCUGACUGAAUCAUCAGUGUAGACCAGCUUUUGGACCUGGUUUACAGUGAAUAAGAGUUUGAAAGAUACAUACACAAAACUGAAUAUAAAGAAAAAACAGUAGCACUUCCCUGGUGGUGCAGUGGUUAAGAAUCCACCUGCCAAGGCAGGGGACACAGGUUCGAGCCCCAGUCUGGGAAGAUCCCACAUACCGCAGAGCAACUGAGCCUGUGCACCACAACUACUGAGCCUGCGCUCUACAGCUUGCGAGCCACAACUACUGAAGCCCGGGCACCUAGAGUCCGUGCUUCACACAGGAGAAGCCACCGCAAUGAGCAGCCCAUGCACUGCAACUAGAGAAAGCCCACGCACAGCAAUGAAGACCCAACACAGCCAAAAAUAAAUAAAUAUUUAAAAAAAACCAACAACAACAAUAAAAGAAGAAACAGUAACUCUGCACAUAUGUUUAGGAUCGCCACAGAUAAUGACUCCAAAGGACUCACUGCUUGUAAAUCCACAAUUUCUUGUUUCCCAGCCAGACCCUUCCUUGCCUACAGUAGCCCCAGAGAUGGAAAUGUAGGAUUCAGUCAAGGUCAUUAAACGUAAUGACUGAUUUUUCAAGAACCUGCCCUCUCUAUUCCAAGCAACACUUCCUCUGCUUCUCCUUCUUGUGCCAUACCAAAGCUGCAAGACCCAUGGGUCCAGGCUUUUCCACUUAGGCUCUAUCACACACUUAAUAAGCAAACAUUCAAGAAAUACAAAUUCUUUUCAAUAAAUGCCGCUGCAAUAUCGGCUGGUAUACACUGAGUAUCACAGAUUAAUCCAACUCCCCACAAGGGUCACCUAAAAGGUAGAUUACAGGUGAACAAGUAGUCCUAUAUACAUGCUCAUAGCCGUAGGCACAGCAGACAAAAAGUGGAAACAACUCAAAUGUCCAUCAGAUGAAUGGAUAAACUAAAUAUGGUAUAUCCGUACAAUGGAAAGUUAUUUAUCUAUAAGAAGGAAUGAAGUACUGAUAUAGGCUACAAUGCAGAUGAACCUCAAAAACGCUAUGCUAAGUGAAAGAAGUCAGACACAAAAGGUCACAUAUUGUAUGACAGUAUUUAUAUGAAAUGUCCAGAAUAGGUAAAUCUAUAGAGACAAAUAGCAGAUUGGUGGUUGCCAGGGACUGGGGUGAGAGGGGAUUGGGGAGAGACUGCUUAAGGGGGACAAGGUCUCCUUUGAGGUUCCUGAAAUGUUUUGGAACUAGAUAGACGUAAUGGUUGCACAACAUUGUAAAUGUACUAAAAGCCACUGAAUUGUACACUUUAAAAUAGUACAUUUUAUGUGGAUUUCACCUCAGUUUUUAAAAAAGGGAAAAAAAGAGAAGAUUAAGAUAAUUUAUUAAUUGCUCCACAAACAUUUCUCCCCAACCUUUUUUCUUUUUAAUAAACAUUAUGUUUAAGAGUAACUAGGUUUGCAGAAAAUUUGUGCAGAAAGUACAGAGUUUCCAUAUAGUCCCCCAUGCCCCACAAUUCUCCUCCUAUUAACACCUUGCAUUAUUGCAGUACAUUUUUACAGUUGAUGAACAAUAUUGAUACAUUAGUAUUAAAUGAAAGUCUACUAGGGUUUACAUUAGGGCUCAUUCCAUGUUGUAUAGUUCCUGGUUUUGACAACUGCAUAAUGUCAUGUAUGCACCAUUACUGUAUCAUACAGAAUAGUUUCACUGCCCUAAAAAUCCUUUGUGCUCCUCAUAUUCAUCCUUCUCUCUCCCUAAGCCGCUGGAAACUGCAGAUCUUUUUAUUUUCUCUAUAGUUUUGCCUUUUCCGGAAUGCCAUACAUUCUAUAGCCUUUUCAGACUGACUUCUUUCACUUAGUGAUAUGUGUUUAAAAUUCCUCCAUGUCGGGUUUCCCUGGUGGCACAGUGGUUAAGAAUCCACCUGCCAAUGCAGGGGACACGGGUUCGAGCCCUGGUCCAGGAAGAUCUCACAUGCCGUGGAGCAACUAAGCCCGUGAGCCACAACUACUGAAGCCCACGUGCCUAGAGCCCGUGCUCUGCAGCAAGAGAAGCCACCGCAACGAAGAGUAGCCCCCGCUCACUGCAACUAGAGGAGGUCUGUGCGCAGCAAUGAAGACCCAAUACAGCCAAAAAUAAAUAAAUAAAAUAAGUUAAUUUUAAAAAAUUCCUCCAUGUCUUUUCAUAUCUUGAUAACUCAUUCCUUUUUAUUGCUGAAUAAUACUUCAUUACAUAGAUAUACCAGAGAUUGUUCAUUCACCUACUGAAGGCCAUCUUGGUGGUUUCCAAGUUUUGGCAUUUUGAAUAAAGCAGUUAUAAACACAUUUGUGUGCUGAUUUUUUUUUUUUUUUUUGCGCUGUACGUGGGCCUCUCACUGUUGUGGCCUCUCCCGUUGUGGAGCACAGGCUCCGGACGCACAGACUCAGUGGCCAUGGCUCACGGGCCCAGCCGCUCCGCAGCAUGUGGGAUCUUCCCAGACCGGGGCACGAACCCGCGUCCCCUGCAUUGGCAGGCGGACUCUCAACCACUGCGCCACCAGGGAAGCCCUGUGUGCUGAUUUUUGUGUAGAUGUAAGUGUUAAACUCAUUUGAGUGAAUACCUAGGAGAGCAAUUUCUAUAUUGUAUGGUAAGCCUAUGUGUGUGUAACUUUGGAAAAAACUGAAAGCGUGUAUUCCUGAGCGGCUGCACCAUUUUGUAGAGUUCCUUUGCUCCACAUCCUUGCCAACAUUUGGUGGUGUUAGUGGUUUGUAUUUCAGCUAUUUUAGUAGCUAUGUAGCGAUAUCAUAUAUUUUUUAUUCUUUUUUUUUUUUUUUUUUUUUUUUUUUUUUGUGGUACGCGGGCCUCUCACCGUUGUGGCCUCUCCCGUUGCGGAGCACAGGCUCCGGACGCACAGGCUCAGCGGCCACGGCUCACCGGCCCAGCCGCUCCGCGGCAUGUGGGAUCUUCCCGGACCGGUGCACGAACCCGUGUCCCCUGCAUUGGCAGGCGGACUCUCAACCACUGCGCCACCAGGGAAGCCUGGAAAGUCAGUGAUUUUGAAUAAACACAUCUGUAUUCUUCGUUUCAUUUUAUACAGAGCACAUAUUAUUGUAACUUUAAAAUGUAAAAUAAAAAUUACUUAUUGUUAAAAAUG